AUGGAGGUCGUCAUGGGUGCCAUGGGCAGCCUGCUCCCCAAGCUGGGCCAGCUGCUCAUGGAUGAGUACAACCUGCACAAGCGCGUCAGGAAAGAUGUUGAGUUCCUCAGGAAGGAGCUUGAGAGCAUGCACGCUGCCCUCAUCAAGGUUGGCGACGUGCCGCCGGACCAGCUCGACAGGCAGGUCAAGCUCUGGGCCGACGAGGUCAGAGAGCUCUCCUACAACAUGGAGGAUGUCGUCGACAAGUUUCUCGUACGCGUCGAAGGUAAUCAGCAGCCUCACGACAACACCGGCAGAUUCAAGGAGCUCAAAAACAAGAUGGUCAGCUUGUUCAAGAAAGGCAAAAAUCACCAUCGGAUAGCUGACGCCGUCAAGGAAAUCAAGGAGCAACUCCAGGAGGUGGCUGCUAGGCGUGGCAGGAACAAGCUCGAUGGUAUUGCUUUUAAUCCCAACGAAGCAAUUGCUAUCGAUCCUCGUCUUCGGGCUUUGUACACAGAAGCGACAGAGCUCAUUGGCAUCUAUGGGAAGAGGGAUCAGGACCUCUUGAGUUUGCUCUCUAUUGAGGGCGACGAUGCAUCUAACAAGAAACUGAAGAAGAUCUCCAUUGUUGGAUUUGGAGGGUUGGGAAAGACCACACUUGCUAGAGCAGUAUAUGAGAAGAUUAAAGGUGAUUUUGAUUGUCGGGCAUUUGUUCCCGUCGGUCAGAAUCCUGAUGUCAGGAAGGUUUUUAGGGAUAUCCUUAUUGAUCUCGGAAAAUCCCACUCAGAUGUUGUCAUGUUGGAUGAAAGGCAGCUUAUCAACAAGCUUCAUGAAUUCCUCGAGAACAAGAGGUAUCUGGUCAUAAUUGAUGAUAUAUGGGAUGAAAAAUUGUGGGAAGGCAUCAACUUGGCUUUCUCUAAUAGGAAUAAUCUAGGCAGUCGGCUAAUCACCACAACCCGCAUAGUCAGUGUAUCCAAUUCAUGUUGCUCGUCAGCUAAUGAUUUAGUUUAUCAAAUGAAACCUCUUUCUACGGAUGAUUCCAGAAGGCUCUUUCAUAAGAGAAUAUUUCCCGACAAGAGUGGAAGUCCAAAUGAAUUUGAACAAGUGUCUAAAGAUAUAUUGAAAAAAUGUGGUGGGGUACCACUAGCCAUCAUUACUAUUGCUAGUGCUUUGGCUAGUGGCCACCAGGUGAAACCAAAGCGUGAGUGGGACAUUCUGCUCCAGUCCCUUGGCUCUGGACUAACAGAAGAUAACAGUUUAGAGGAGAUGCGGAGAAUACUCUCAUUCAGCUAUUAUAAUCUACCCUCUCAUCUGAAAACUUGUCUAUUAUACCUAUGUGUAUAUCCAGAAGAUAGCAAGAUUGAUAGAGAUACACUGAUACGGAAGUGGGUGGCUGAAGGAUUUGUCCGUUGUGGGAACCAAGGGACUAGCCUGUUUUUGGUCGGAUUAAACUACUUCAACCAGCUCAUUGAUAGAAGUAUGAUCCAGCCAAUAUAUGAUCUUCUAGGCCAGGUACAUGCUUGCUGUGUACAUGAUAUUGUUCUUUAUUUUAUCUGCAACUUGUCACAUGAAGCGAAGUUUGUUAAUGUAUUGGAUGGUACUGGGAUGUCUUUUCAAGGCAAUGUUCGUCGUUUGUCCCUUCAAGAUAGAAAUAAAGAUCAUCAAGGCACACCUAUCAGAAAUUUCACGGGUAUAUCACGAGUGAGGUCCAUUACUGUCUUUACAUCUGCUAUUAAUAUCAUGCCAGCCCUGUCCAGGUUUGAAGUUCUGCGUGUACUUGAAUUGUCGGGCUGUAAUCUGGGAGAAAGUAGUAGCCUGCAACUUAACCUCAAGGGUGUUGGACACUUAAUUCACCUGAGGUAUCUUGGUCUAGCAGGUACUGGAAUAAGGGAACUCUCGCCCGAGAUAGGAAACCUACUGUUUUUGGAGGUGUUGGAUCUUGAAAGAAAUUAUGAGCUAGAUGAAUUGCCUUCCACUCUUUUUAAAUUGAGAAGAUUAAUCUACCUAAAUGUUUAUCUCAAUAAGGUGGUUCCAACUCCUGGUGUGUUGCAGAAUCUGACAUCCAUUGAAGUGUUGAGGGGGAUCCUGGUCUCUGUGAACAUUAUUGCACGAGAGCUUGGCAACCUUGCAAAGAUGAGGGAGCUUCUGAUUCACUUCAAGGAUGGUAGUUUGGAUUUGUAUGAAGGUUUCGUGAAGUCUCUGGGCAACCUACUUCACAUCGAAAGCCUAUAUAUUAAUUGCGAUUCCGGAGAAACAUCUUUUGAACUGAUGGAUCUCUUGGGAGAAUGCUGGAUGCCUCCUGUACAUCUCUGCAAAUUUGUGUCUUGGAUGCCCAGCCAACUCUCUGCACUGCGAGGGUGGACAAAGAGAGACCCCUCGCAUCUCUCGAACCUCUCCCAGUUAAUCCUCUUGUCAGUGAAGGAAGUGCAGCAGCAGGACGUGGAUAUCAUUGGGGGGUUGCUGUCCCUUCGCUUUCUUUGGAUACAGACCACCCACCAAACACAACGGCUGCUUGUGAUCGGUGCAGAUGGGUUUCGCUGUAUGUCAGAAUUUCGCUUGGAUUGUGGAUCAGGAGCGCAGAUAAUGUUUGAACCAGGGGCUUUACCGAGGGCAGAAUCAGUUGCGUUCAGUCUUGGCGUGCUGGUGGCGAAAGAGGAUGGUAACUGUCGUUUCGACUUGGGCCUGCAGGGGAACCUGCUCUCCCUUCGGCGGGAGGUCCGGGUUCAUAUGUAUUGUGGUAGAGCGAGGGUUUGGGAGGCCAGGGAAGCGGAGGCUGCAGUGACGCAUGCCCUCCACGCCCAUCCCAACCAUCCCCCGCUUUAUAUUGAUAUGCUCCCACAUAUAGCAGAAGGUGCUCAUGAUGACGAUUUGUGUGAGGACGAGGUGGAGAACUGA
rnacentral:rRNA from 1 species